GUGUUUUUCAUAGUAUUAGAUAUAAGAUUAAUUAAAAGACGUACCCGCUUGUGAUAAGUAAGUACAUCAAAAACAGAAGCGUCUGUUUGAUUGAUAAAUGUGUAAGGAGCAUCGGUUUACCAGAGCCGAUGCUUUUUUU
rnacentral:sRNA from 1 species